ensembl:lncRNA
UGCAUAUUUUUGUGAGCUGCCGCUGUGAAUAUGAGUGGGAACACUGGAUUUGGAUGUCUACCUGGAUUUGACAUCAUCUGUCAAAUCCAGGCAGACUUUAUUUUGAAGUUGUUUUUAUAAUAUUUCAAAGCUGUGUUGUAAAGUACAGGAUAGCUCGAUGCCACUAAAAUUAGUGCUUCCAUUUAUUUAUUUAUUUAUUUAUAACUAAAAAGCUCAUGCAGUGAUGUUGUGAUCAUGUAUUGGUCACACGUUUUCACGUGAUACGAUUUUGCAGGUCAGGGUUCACCAAAUUUGAACUUUCAUUACGCAGCAAGCUUGCAUUUCUGGUCUGCCGUUUUUGGAUGCAUUUGCACGCUAAAUCCUAUUGUGACCGCCCCAUGACUCUGGUGAGGAAUUGGAGGUUGUUUUUUUUUUGGAGGAAGACACCUUGGAUUGAGCCGCGGAGCAUUCCAGCAUGGAGUGGACACGGUCCUUGAAAAAGAAGAAGAAAAUGCUGCUGAUCCUCCUCACACUUCUUCUGAGGCCUUCUCCCCCAACACCCACAUGGAGGUUUCCAGUGCAAAACUGACAGUGACAUCUACCCCCCAGAGAAGUCAGAGAAGAGGGGUCACUCGUGUGUCACUCAUUUGAGCCAUUAGUAGAGCCAGUGCUCCUGUACCUAAAUCCUAAACAGGAUAGGUGACACAAUAUUAACGAGGAUGAUGUGCAUACAAUAUCACAUCUCUCCUGCCCACACUUGAUAGCCACCAGCAGCAUACUUCUCUAGAGCUGUUCAUUAUUUUUUGGUAAAGCCACAGUCUCUGAAACAACACAAACCUAUAUGCAGAGUAAAAACAGAAGGUUAUGCAUACACCAUGGAGUCCUGUAACUAGCCUGAAGAUAUGCAAAUUCCUGGGCCUAGUCAUUUACUGUGGCCUAAUAAAGCCAUCAAGCGUUUGAGAUUUGUGGAGAAAUAAUACGCUACAUAAUUUUCUGUUCCCAACCUCUGUCCUGGCAUUCUGCAGAUUUGAGGCAAUAUUCUGCAUCGUGUACAAGCAACAUCAAAGAUAACAAGCAGAGUGACUGGCUAAAAGGCACCACUCACCAUGAUUAGCUCUUUUAUGUGAAGCUCACCAGGAAGCAGCUCUUAUUGAAAUGCAGAG